rnacentral:lncRNA from 1 species
AAAUGCCGCCCGCCGGAGGCUGAACCGACAGGAGCUCCUCUCAGAGAGGGGGGGGACAGACUGAUCUCACACCGGCUCUCAGACGCGCUUUUGGCGCUGCGUCCCGCGCUCGACCCAGCCGGAUCCGGAACCUCAGGAAACCGAGCCCGAGCUGCAGAACCAGGUUUUCAGAAACUGUUGAAGAUGUUUCUUCCUCUGAUGAUCCUCCAGCUGCUGCUGCCUGCAGCCUUCACCGUAAGUUUUCAACCUAAAAACGACACGAUAAUUAUUCAGCAGAUAUUUAGAAACUAUGUGCGGUUAAAGCUCUAACUUUGAAAAUCUUACAGGAAAUG